GUAAAAAGGCCAACUCGCUGGAGGACGGAAGGGUGGCCUGAAGACUGAGGAGGGGCAGGUCAGGUGCCCAGUCCAGAGAGGAGGAGUUGAAGAUGACAAGCCGCACCCCACCUCCCCCCAACUCACUUGGGACUGGAUCCACCCUGAGGAGCCUCGGGUCAACAUCCUGUUUCCGGCAAGCCCUCCUGGAGGCCACACAGAGGGGUGUUUGUUCGUAGUGGGCGACGGGAGAGAUGCUAAUCACGUUGGAUAGCUGGUCCCAGCUGAAGGUCAGGAGGAUCCAUCAUUUACCUACCAAGAUAACUACCUUACUUACCAUAAACGUGAACGAUGCAGGCGGCUAGAGGGCUCGCUCGGUAGCUAAAAGUGAUUGCUACACAGGGGCAGCAAUCUGAAUUCAGUCCCCAGGAGCCAUGGAAAGCAGGAAGGAGAUGACCAGCUGCGUGGUUAGCUUCUGACUUCCCCACACGUGCUGUGACCCACACCCACACCAAUAAAUAUAUUUCUACUUUA
rnacentral:lncRNA from 1 species